rnacentral:rRNA from 1 species
AGAGGGUGCGAGCGUUAAUCGGAAUUACUGGGCGUAAAGAGCACGUAGGUGGUUGUUUAAGUUGGCUGUGAAAUACCUGGGCUUAACCUGGGCAGGCCAGCCGAAACUGGGCAACUAGAGUACAGUAGAGGGAAGUGGAAUUUCCGGUGUAGCGGUGAAAUGCGUAGAUAUCGGAAGGAACAUCAGUGGCGAAGGCGACUUUCUGGACUGAUACUGACACUGAGGUGCGAAAGCGUGGGUAGCGAACAGGGAUUAGAUACCCUGGUAGUCCACGCCGUAAACGAUGAGAACUAGCUGUUGGGAGAGCGAUCUUUUAGUGGCGCAGCUAACGCGUUAAGUUCUCCGCCUGGGGAGUACGACCGCAAGGUUA